UACAGAGGGGGCAAGCGUUAUUCGGAAUUAUUGGGCGUAAAGGGCGCGUAGGCGGCCUGGCAAGUGGAAGGUGAAAUCCCUCGGCUUAACCGAGGAACUGCCCUCCAAACUGCUUGGUUUGAGUCCGGGAGAGGUGAGUGGAAUUCCCAGUGUAGCGGUGAAAUGCGUAGAUAUUGGGAGGAACACCAGUGGCGAAGGCGGCUCACUGGACCGGAACUGACGCUGAGGCGCGAAAGCGUGGGGAGCAAACGGG
rnacentral:rRNA from 1 species